UCGUUUCCGAGGAGCGUUGCGACGGGCCCCGCCCGCCAGGCUCGGAAAUGGUCAACCGAGCGGUGUGUCGGCGCAGCAUCGUCGCAUAGCGGCGAUCGUUUCCGCCGAGACCGGCCGCUUACUUGAACGGCGCUCACGUCAC
rnacentral:ncRNA from 1 species